rnacentral:rRNA from 1 species
AACGAACGCUGGCGGCAUGCCUAACACAUGCAAGUCGAACGAGACCUUCGGGUAUAGUGGCGCACGGGUGCGUAACGCGUGGGAACCUGCCCUUAGGUUCGGAAUAACUCCCCGAAAGGGGUGCUAAUACCGGAUAAUGUCUUCGGACCAAAGAUUUAUCGCCUUUGGAUGGGCCCGCGUUGGAUUAGCUAGUUGGUAGGGUAAAAGCCUACCAAGGCGACGAUCCAUAGCUGGUCUGAGAGGAUGAUCAGCCACACUGGGACUGAGACACGGCCCAGACUCCUACGGGAGGCAGCAGUGGGGAAUAUUGGACAAUGGGCGAAAGCCUGAUCCAGCAAUGCCGCGUGAGUGAUGAAGGCCUGAGGGUUGCAAAGCUCUUUUACCCGGGAUGAUAAUGACAGUACCGGGAGAAUAAGCUCCGGCUAACUCCGUG